rnacentral:rRNA from 1 species
GGGGGAUCGGUAUCGGAAUACUGGGCGUAAGCGCGCGCAGGCGGUCUGUUAAGUCGGAUGUGAAAUCCCCGGGCUCAACCUGGGAACUGCAUCCGAAACUGGCAGGCUUGAGUCUUGUAGAGGGUGGUAGAAUUCCAUGUGUAGCGGUGAAAUGCGUAGAGAUCUGGAGGAAUACCGGUGGCGAAGGCGGCCCCCUGGACUGAUACUGACGCUCAGGUGCGAAAGCGUGGGGAGCAAACAGGAUUAGAUACCCUGGUAGUCCACGCCGUAAACGAUGUCGACUUGCAGGUUGUGCCCUUGAGGCGUGGCUGCCGGAGCUAACGCGUUAAGUCGACCGCCUGGGGAGUACGGCCGCAAGGUUAAAACUCAAAUGAAUUGACGGGGGCCCGCACAAGCGGUGGAGCAUGUGGUUUAAUUCGAUGCAACGCGAAGAACCUUACCUGGUCUUGACAUCCACAGAACUUUCCAGAGAUGGAUUGGUGCCUUCGGGAACUGUGAGACAGGUGCUGCAUGGCUGUCGUCAGCUCGUGUUGUGAAAUGUUGGGUUAAGUCCCGCAACGAGCGCAACCCUUAUCCUUUGUUGCCAGCGGUUCGGGCGGGAACUUCUAGGAAACUGGCAGUGAUCAACUGGAAGAAGGUGGGGAUGACCUCCAGUCAUCCUGGGCCUUACCACCAGGGCUACCCACGUGCUACCAUGGCUCAUACCAAGAGAAUCCAACUCGCCAGAGCGAGCCUACCUCCUAAAGUGCGACCUAAUCCGGAUUGGAGUCUGGAACUUCACUUCAUGAAAUCCGAAUCCCUAGUAAUCCUGGAUCAGAAUGGCACCGUGAAUUCCUUCCCCGGCCUUGGACACCACGGCCGUUCAACCAUGGGGAAUGGGGUUGCAUCCGAAGUUAGUUGCUCUACCUUCGGGAGGGCGCU